rnacentral:lncRNA from 1 species
GGCCUCGGUUGCCAUGGACGCCCCGUCCCUGCCCCUCCCGCGGUCCCUGACCGUCGGAACAAAUCCCCGGCGCCUCCCGGCGGCCGUAGCUGCAGGCGCUUCCAGGCAUCUGCCGGUAGGUGGCGCCACACGCAUCCGGUCGACUCGGAGGCGCCGCUAACGCCGCGGGGGGCCAAAGGGGCGCAGCCCCGCAGCAGGUGGGACUUCAGGCCUGCUGUGGAGCCUGGAACUUCCACUGCCAUUCUGGAACUUAAUCUGCAUGCCGCUGCCUUGGAUGUGACAGUCAGGGUUACUACCUGCAGCUGUUUUUGAUGGAUGCAGUUUGGCUGAGAGGUUUUCUGCCUUGAGGAGCGCUUGGUAAGAGAGGGCCUGCAGGAGAAGCCCGGGGGACCACCUGCCUGAUGAACCAGGUGAAAGGGAAUCCGCUGGAACUGGCCUACGCCAAUCAUCAGCUGGCACGACUUCCUAAAUAGUCCACACCACACUCACACAACCUACAUUUUGCUUGUUAAUGAAUGAAACAAUGUCUCUGGAGAGUUUC